CGGGUGAGUAACACGUGGAUAACCUACCUAUAAGACUGGGAUAACUUCGGGAAACCGGAGCUAAUACCGGAUAAUAUUUUGAACCGCAUGGUUCAAAAGUGAAAGACGGUCUUGCUGUCACUUAUAGAUGAAUCCGCGCUGCAUUAGCUAGUUGGUAAGGUAACGGCUUACCAAGGCAACGAUGCAUAGCCGACCUGAGAGGGUGAUCGGCCACACUGGAACUGAGACACGGUCCAGACUCCUACGGGAGGCAGCAGCC
rnacentral:rRNA from 1 species